rnacentral:rRNA from 1 species
CUACGGGUUGCUGCAGUGAGGAAUAUUGCACAAUGGGGGGAACCCUGAUGCAGCAACGCCGCGUGGAGGAUGACGCAUUUCGGUGUGUAAACUCCUUUUAUAUGUCAAGAAAAUGACGGUAGCAUAUGAAUAAGCACCGGCUAACUCCGUGCCAGCAGCCGCGGUAAUACGGAGGGUGCAAGCGUUACUCGGAAUCACUGGGCGUAAAGGACGCGUAGGCGGGUUGGAAAGUCAGGUGUGAAAUCCUACGGCUUAACUGUAGAACUGCACUUGAAACUGCUAAUCUAGAGUAUGGGAGGGGGAGAUGGAAUUAGUGGUGUAGGGGUAAAAUCCGUAGAUAUCACUAGGAAUACCUAAAGCGAAGGCGAUCUCCUGGAACAUUACUGACGCUAAGGCGUGAAAGCGUGGGGAGCAAACAGGAUUAGAUACCCCAGUAGUC